rnacentral:rRNA from 1 species
GACGAACGCUGGCGGCGUGCUUAACACAUGCAAGUCGAACGGAAAGGCCCUGCUUUUGUGGGGUGCUCGAGUGGCGAACGGGUGAGUAACACGUGAGUAACCUGCCCUUGACUUUGGGAUAACUUCAGGAAACUGGGGCUAAUACCGGAUAGGAGCUCCUGCUGCAUGGUGGGGGUUGGAAAGUUUCGGCGGUUGGGGAUGGACUCGCGGCUUAUCAGCUUGUUGGUGGGGUAGUGGCUUACCAAGGCUUUGACGGGUAGCCGGCCUGAGAGGGCGACCGGCCACAUUGGGACUGAGAUACGGCCCAGACUCCUACGGGAGGCAGCAGUGGGGAAUAUUGCACAAUGGGCGGAAGCCUGAUGCAGCAACGCCGCGUGCGGGAUGACGGCCUUCGGGUUGUAAACCGCUUUCGCCUGUGACGAAGCGUGAGUGACGGUAAUGGGUAAAGAAGCACCGGCUAACUACGUGCCAGCAGCCGCGGUGAUACGUAGGGUGCGAGCGUUGUCCGGAUUUAUUGGGCGUAAAGGGCUCGUAGGUGGUUGAUCGCGUCGGAAGUGUAAUCUUGGGGCUUAACCCUGAGCGUGCUUUCGAUACGGGUUGACUUGAGGAAGGUAGGGGAGAAUGGAAUUCCUGGUGGAGCGGUGGAAUGCGCAGAUAUCAGGAGGAACACCAGUGGCGAAGGCGGUUCUCUGGGCCUUUCCUGACGCUGAGGAGCGAAAGCGUGGGGAGCGAACAGGCUUAGAUACCCUGGUAGUCCACGCUGUAAACGGUGGGUACUAGGUGUGGGGUCCAUUCCACGGGUUCCGUGCCGUAGCUAACGCUUUAAGUACCCCGCCUGGGGAGUACGGCCGCAAGGCUAAAACUCAAAGGAAUUGACGGGGCCCCGCACAAGCGGCGGAGCGUGCGGAUUAAUUCGAUGCAACGCGUAGAACCUUACCUGGGUUUGACAUGGAUCGGGAGUGCCCAGAGAUGGGUGUGCCUCUUUUGGGGUCGGUUCACAGGUGGUGCACGGCUGUCGUCAGCUCGUGUCGUGAGAUGUUGGGUUAAGUCCCGCAACGAGCGCAACCCUUGUUCACUGUUGCCAGCACGUUAUGGUGGGGACUCAGUGGAGACCGCCGGGGUCAACUCGGAGGAAGGUGGGGAUGACGUCAAGUCAUCAUGCCCCUUAUGUCCAGGGCUUCACGCAUGCUACAAUGGCUGGUACAGAGAGUGGCGAGCCUGUGAGGGUGAGCGAAUCCCGGAAAGCCGGUCUCAGUUCGGAUUGGGGUCUGCAACUCGACCUCAUGAAGUCGGAGUCGCUAGUAAUCGCAGAUCAGCAACGCUGCGGUGAAUACGUUCCCGGGGCU